rnacentral:lncRNA from 1 species
CAUGAACCUCAUUACGUUUUACCAGUGCCCCGCCCCAAGACAAUUUCCAAAACUACCCUUUUAAAACACUAAUAUUUACAAGUUGACAAGUUCAAUGGUGCUGGACCAUAGAAUGAAAGUAAAGACUCACUAGUAUUAGAUCAAAUCCCUCAAAAAUAUCUGCCAUCUAUCUCAAAAGGAUAAACACUAAUUAAUUAAUUAAAUUAAUCAAAUCAUAAAAUUCAACCACCACAGUUAACUGUCUACAUAAUUCCAGAAUCUUCUACAACUUUCUGUGUGCUUCUUUGCCUCCAUUAUAUCUU